rnacentral:rRNA from 1 species
CCUACGGGAGGCUGCAGUGGGGAAUAUUGGACAAUGGGCGAAAGCCUGAUCCAGCCAUGCCGCGUGUAUGAAGAAGGCCUUCGGGUUGUAAAGCACUUUCAGUGGGGAAGAAAGCCUUGGGGCUAAUACCCUCGAGGAAGGACAUCACCCACAGAAGAAGCACCGGCUAACUCCGUGCCAGCAGCCGCGGUAAUACGGAGGGUGCGAGCGUUAAUCGGAAUUACUGGGCGUAAAGCGCGCGUAGGCGGUCUGAUAAGCCGGUUGUGAAAGCCCCGGGCUCAACCUGGGAACGGCAUCCGGAACUGUCAGGCUAGAGUGCAGGAGAGGAAGGUAGAAUUCCCGGUGUAGCGGUGAAAUGCGUAGAGAUCGGGAGGAAUACCAGUGGCGAAGGCGGCCUUCUGGACUGACACUGACGCUGAGGUGCGAAAGCGUGGGUAGCAAACAGGAUUAGAUACCCUGGUAGUC